rnacentral:rRNA from 1 species
AUUGAACGCUGGCGGCAGGCCUAACACAUGCAAGUCGAGCGAGCGGCAGGCGGGUGUGUAAUGUGUGGGGAUGUGCCCUGUAGAGGGGGAAAACUUCUGGAAACGGUCGCUUAUCCCACAUACUAACGGAUGAACCCAUAUGGGAUUAGCUAGUAGGUGGGGUAAAGGCUCACCUAGGCGACGAUCUCUAGCUGGUCUGAGAGGAUGAUCAGCCAAACUGGAACUGAGACACGGCCCAGACUCCUACGGGAGGCAGCAGUGGGGAAUAUUGCACAAUGGGCGCAAGCCUGAUGCAGCCAUGCCGCGUGUAUGAAGAAGGCCUUAGGGUUGUAAAGCACUUUCAGCGGGGAGGCGUUACCCGCAGAAGAAGCACCGGCUAACUCCGUGCCAGCAGCCGCGGUAAUAC